CUUGUUCCGGGCAUUGCAGGGUGUGGUGAGGCCUCUCAGGUUCAGGUUCAGGUUCAGGUUCGGGGCUGGUUCGGGGAGGGGGGUGCCUUCCCCACUGCUUUAGGAGCUGUUGUCUGGGACACUGCAGCUCUGAGUUCAGACGCUCCCCUAGCAACUGAAUGGGAUGGGGGUGAGGCGCAGAGGGGCGUUCUGACCCUUUGAAGGGGGCCGGGUCUGGAACCCCUUUCCCAGGCUCCGGGUCCCUCCCACCUCCGGCCCAGGGCCCUCCCAGGGCGGGUGUGACCUUUAGUCACCUGCAGAAAGCCAAGUCACUGUGCCUCCUGCUGUGACUCCGCCUGGCUGGACCUCUGAGCGAGGACCGCCUGUUCCACUCUGUCCAGACGCCUCCAGCUGCCCCUUGGGGAUGCUGGGCGCACCCCGGCGGCCUCUUGCCUGCUCUGGGACUAGCCCUGGCCAGCGAGACCACUGAGGUUGCGAUAUCGGCCCUGCAGCUGCAGCAGCAGGACAAGGAGGCCUGGUCGGGGAGUCUUGGAGAAGAUUCUGUGACCGCAGGCUCCUGCAGGGUGUGAGCGGCAGCCAUUCCAGCCAAGCCCUCUAGUCUCCAGGAGCCGCUUGGGGGGCUCCUGUCUGUUAACUGGCCGGUGGGGUCGGCAAGCGCCCCCUGGCUGGCAGAGUCAUGAAGAAGCCGUUCGUGGUGCUGGGCCUGCUGGCCGUGAUCCUCGUGUUGGUCAUCAUCAGCCUCGCCAUCUGGCUGCCCCCACCUCCAGGCAGCCAGA